rnacentral:rRNA from 1 species
GACGAACGCUGGCGGCGUGCUUAACACAUGCAAGUCGAACGGAAAGGCCCUGCAUUUGUGGGGUGCUCGAGUGGCGAACGGGUGAGUAACACGUGAGUAACCUGCCCUUGACUUUGGGAUAACUUCAGGAAACUGGGGCUAAUACCGGAUAGGAGCUCCUGCUGCAUGGUGGGGGUUGGAAAGUUUCGGCGGAUGGGGAUGGACUCGCGGCUUAUCAGCUUGUUGGUGGGGUAGUGGCUUACCAAGGCGUUGACGGGUAGCCGGCCUGAGAGGGUGACCGGCCACAUUGGGACUGAGAUACGGCGCAGACUCCUACGGGAGGCAGCAGUGGGGAAUAUUGCACAAUGGGCGGAAGCCUGAUGCAGCAACGCCGCGUGCGGGAUGACGGCCUUCGGGUUGUAAACCGCUUUCGCCUGUGACGAAGCGUGAGUGACGGUAAUGGGUAAAGAAGCACCGGCUAACUACGUG